GUAUUUUUUCCUCAAUUUCCCAAUCAUGGGGACAAAUAUUUUCUUUGAUUCUUAUCAUUGAAAAGUUUUUUGUUUUUGUUUUUGUUUUUUUAUAGUGUCUCACUAAAUAGAAGGUCUAACUUGUCAUCCUCCUGCUUCAACAUCCCAGACUACUGAAAUUACAAGCAAGCACCACCACGCCCAGUUUGAAAACUUAUUUUUAAAACAGGAAGGCAGAGGCCAAACAGGGCUGAUUUCUCUAUUGUCUCAGGCUAAACUGCUGACAACCAAGAAGUAUGAACACUUGGCAGAACUUCAAACUCCAACAAUAACCAAUGGGCACAAGGAGUCUAUUCAGUGUCACUUUUCUGUGCCUCUGCUUUUCUACCUUGGGCACAUCAUACAAGAGGCUUUCUUCUCUGAUACAUAUGAAUUUCUUUUAAAGAUUAAGUAUUAUAAACACUAUUGUGUGGCGGGGUGUGGUGGCGCACGCCUGUAAUCCCAGCACUUGGGAGGCUGAGGCAAGAGGAUCGCUGCGAGUUUGAGAACAGCCUGGGCUAUAUAGUGAGUUCCAGGUCAGUUUCAACUACAUAGUGAGACACUGUCUCGAAAAACCCAAAAAACAAAAAACAAAACAAAACAAAAAAACACCAUUAUGUAACUAUUUUUAAGUACAUAUUAUCAGAAAAUCCA
rnacentral:lncRNA from 1 species